CCCAACUUUCUGAUUUGACAUCAUUUCCUGUGGACUUGGGUUCCUAUUUAGAGACUAUGUUUGUUGAAACUACAUGAUUAUUUCAGAGAGAAGGCAAGGUCCAUUAUUUCAUUUUUUAGAGAAUUCUAGUCAUAGUGAAAUGCUCAGAGUGAAGAUGCUGGCAAGGAACAAAAUGGAAUUAAUAUCCAUUCAGUUCCCAUUGACUGCCAGAAAAUGGGAUAGAUGUCCUACAUGUUCAGAAUCUCAGGUGACUAUCAUAAGAACCUGGUCAAAAGGCCACCCUGGCAAACUAAGAACACAGAAUUUUAUUACAGCUGCUGGAUAUGAAGACUCAGCAUAUGAUAUCGGUGACGUUAACACCCUCCCAGGGAGAAGCGCUGUUCCUUCUGGCUGGGAAGUGCAAGCCGCCUGGCUAAUGUUAUCCAGAUGUAUCGAAACCUCAGGAGUGACAUGGAACGGUAGUCCCUGCUUGAACCACUUACCUGCUUUCCUGACACCAGCAAUCACACACACCUGACACUGACCUGAAGCCUCUGACCUGUCCUCGGAGGCAAAGACCGAGUAGACAAGAUGCCUGGUUACCAGCAAUCGUCUGCAAUUUCCUCUGAGCUAAUGAGAUUGCUUUUCUCUUUGCUCAAAUUAUGUGAGAAUAUUUUUUAAAAGAAUUUAAUGUGCUCUUUUGAUAUUUCAGGUGUUCAGUCAAAAGCCUAUGUUAUUCUCCAUCUCUCUCUCUCUCUCUUUUCCUAGUUGGGUAAUCAAAAUGGCACAACCAGAAAUAUUUAUAUCUGCAACAGAAAAGAAGAAUAAAUGUAUUCAUGCACAAGUACAUUAUAUAUGUAUAUAUGUUUGUGUAUACAUAUAUCUAUAUAAUUGAUAUAUUUGGGAGAAAUAAAAGGUUUCAUUAAGCACACAGGUUCUAGAGUUAGACCCUCUGUUGCAAAUUACUGUCCUGUCACUUAACUCCUGACAGAACAAAGUGCAUACUUGGACAAAAUGCCUGCUCUGUAAAAAUGCCUUGGUCUUGAAUAAAAUGCCUGCUACGUCAAAGCUUUUAUUUUCCCAUCUGGAGAAUGGGAACAAUAAUAAGAACCCUCACUUAACAGAUAAUGGACAAAGGUGCUUACAGCACAGAGCCUGCCACAGACAAUGUCCUCAAUUAAUGCAAACUAUUAAUAUUAUGAAAAGUGAAUAUCUGUUUUCUGACAAUGUUUUCAAUAAUAUAAAUUAUGCCUUUGUUCCCUUUAUUUGUUUGAAAAAAAAAACAAUAAAAAAGCAAACAAAAAAGUGUCUUUAAAGUGUCCAUUUGUCUUUCUUCUAGACUGCUAGUAAUCCUUUCCUGUGUUUAGGGAAUUUUUACCUCAUGGGUUUUGGUGAAUGAAUGAAUUCAUCUGCCUCUACAGAAAAGAAAAUGCCUGAUGCAUUUUCUCAGCCUUUAUUCCAGGUAGUCAGGUAGACUGUGGACUCCAGCAAUUAGACACACUCCUCACAACCUCC